rnacentral:misc_RNA from 1 species
AAGUCGUAACAAGGUUUCCGUAGGUGAACCUGCGGAAGGAUCAUUAACACGUAUCCACGUACCCACCCCCGGUCACAUGGUUUUUACCGCCCUGCGCUUCACAUGAAUUGGAACGAUAAGAAGGAUUGAGUGGGACCCGUCAAACGGUCGCCUUGUUAUCGCUAUGUAUGCAACCGAAAGGAAGCAUCAACAAUUGGAGUGAGGAAGCAGGCAAAAUUUCUAUUACGAACAUCUCCAUUCAAGAUGCGCGUAAUAGGAGAACUAAUCACACAUAUCACCCCCUUUUUGCUAGUUGACUUUAUUAUGUUGUUUUCAUCAUAGUUAAUUCUAUAAUGGACUCACACGUUUAUUUACUUAAACAUUAAACAACUCUUAGCAAUGGAUAUCUUGGUUCUC